CACACCCACGCCCAUUGCCAUCUGCUGGUCGCCGCCGUCCCUAGAUCCCCUUGCGCCGCUGGGCUGUGGAUCCCCGAACGCCGCCGCCAGGCAGUGGAGCCCCGCGCGCCGCCGCGGACCUCCACAUCCAUCCUCCGCCAUGGAUCCUACGUUCCCCGCCGCCCCUAUCUGCCACCGCCGUGGCCCCAGCUUCCCGGCGCACCAUCCACCGCCGCCAUUGUCAUGCGUCGCUGCCGCCCGAUAUGAUGAGGCGCCGCCGCCUCCCAAGCCACUGCCUAGCUCCAGCAUCUCCGCGCGUCCAUGCCACCGGACGGUGAGGGAGACCCGACCGGCCGCCCGCGUUCUGCUGUCCUUCUACAACCUGGCACACAUCGUCUAACAAGUAACAGGUGACAUGGCGAGGUUAUCUGCUGGCUGGCUCUACUCUUCUGAAGAUGGAGAUUAGUAGUAUGGGCACACAUUGUUCUGCUAUCCUUCUACGACCCUGCCUCCACUGGGCUCGGCCUGGAGCAACUUCUCUGAAUUUCCCGACGUGGCCGCAUCACUUCUGAGACCCCGCGCGCCUUGACUUUCCCAACCUCAUCCAUUCUGCCUCCGUUGUACCCUAUUUUUUUGUGAGGGACGCUCUCCCCUAUUAGUUGAACUUCUCGCGAGGGCCGCCUUGACCUUUCCCGGGACGGUUAGAGCAUACGACAACCACAAAAAUCGUCAUCGACUGAGAGAUGGAGCACCUAAUUUUCCAGUUCCUGGAAAUCUUAUGGAGUUUGUUUCUCGAUUAACUUGCGUGGACCUUCAAUCGUUCAUCCUAAACCUACCACCUCCUGAGCCUGAAUGGAAAAUGUCUCAGUGCAAGUGUGUGCAGUACCAAGAAGUUCUACCAUGGGUCUACGUCAAGUUCAUAUUUUGUGUUCAGUAAAAAAAUCUUAGUGCGAGUGUGUGCAGUACCUGGAAGUUUUACUACAGGUCUACGCCAAGUUCAAUGACAUUGCCGCCGGCAAAAUGUUCAGACAAUGUGGGUGACUAUGUCGUGUGUUCAAAGCAAUUUGUUUCAGCAAGGCCGAAGUUUAUCGUGUGUUCUUGGGUCGAAGUUCCUAUAAAGAAAUGGCAGAAGGUCGAUUGUGAAUGUGAUCCCACCUUGUAACAUAUGCUCAUACGCAUGCGGUGAUUCAGAAAUGUUGCCGAGGACAGAGAGUGGAGACGUCAAGGAGCCACUGCGUGAGCUAGUUACAUCACGAUUUGGACCAUGUUCCCAACUUGCAUGCGAUACAUUGCUUAGCUGUCAGCAGCCACAUGUUUACGUGGUUGACAUCAACAAAAACUUUAGUUUUUUGUGGACGUUCUGUAUUAACAUGUUUUAUUUGGACGUUCUAGACUAACUACCGAUGUUACAUCAUUGCUGCUCAAUUUCUAGUCUGUGUACACAUGGCAAGCACACUGGUAGCACCACACACACAUUUCUCCCUGUGCACGUGUGGGAUUUUUCCCUAAUAACUAGCAUGUUUGGUGAAAUGUGGGAAGUCCUGCUACUACCAACAGACAAGGAAAAACGGGAUUUUUCCCUAAUAACUAGCAUGUUUGGUGAAAUGUGUGAAGUCCUGCUACUACCAACAGACAAGGAAAAACGGGAUUUUUCCCUAAUAACUAGCAUGUUUGGUGAAAUGUGUGAAGUCCUGCUACUAGCAACAGAGAAGGAAAAACGCUACUGCACCUCAUUUUGAGAUAAAUAGAAUGCAUUUAGUCCAUAGUGUGUCGCUGCCCAUUUCUUUUAUAAGAUCGUCGUGUGUGUGUGCGUUCGGUGUGCUCGUGCUAUGGGUAUGUCUUUUCCUUUAUUUUUUGAAUAAACUGGAAGUUCAUACAUACAAAAAAUCGAAGUCCAAAUAUCUUCGGUAUAUGUUUUGGAAAAGCUCAGCAGUUAUUUCACCGUUUCUAAAAAACA